AUGAAGGCCUUGUGGGAAGCCAGGCAGGUGGUACGUGGGGUCCCCAAAUUACUGGUGUCCCUGGUGCCUGGCAGGGAGGAGGCAAAGCCUGUGGCAUCGUACCGCCCUACAGCCCUUCAGAGACCCCACGACAUGCAGAGCCUCCCACAGGCCCCUGCCCUGCUACUCAGCGAGAAACACACAAUGGGGCAGCGGCUGGGGCCACAGGCACAGGCAAGCUGUAUCCCACCCGCAAGUGACCUUGCCUCAUCACCCAGGGGACUCCCCAACCACCCUAAGGCUCCUGCCCUCCACUGCUCACAGGGUUGGCUGGGGGGACAGGGAGGUGGGGCAAGCUCCCAGGAGCCCCCUGCUGCAGCCGAGGCCCCGACUCCAUCCCUGCUGGCCACCUCCUCCAUGAACACAGGUGGGCCUGGGACCUGGCCAAGCCUCUUGGGGCUACGGCUCUCCUCACAGGGUCCUUCCUCAUCCAACGUGGAGAAGGUGCCCAGGAGCAACAAGGAGGGGAAAAGCUGCCCAUACCCCCCGCGGCUGCCCCCACUGUACCCCACCGGGCAAGCCGUGAUGGCACCUGUGCCCCAAAGUUGGACACACGUGAGCACCUGCUGCCCUCUCAGACCUCCAGGAUCCCACCACUCCCAUAGGACCCCUGCUGCUCACCAUCACCACCUUUGGGAGGCCUGGCACAAAUGUCCAGCCGUGGUGGAGAUGCCGGAGAUGGCUUGGGGACCGGCUCCUGGGGGAGCCCGCCUGCCCUGGACUCAGCGUCCUCCAGCUGUCCUGUGCCCGGGCCUGGGGAAGAAGGAGCCCUGUAAUGUUUGGAGAGGAAAGGAAGGGCCACUGGGUGGACACGGGACUGGCCCCAGAGCCAGGGCAGCGCCUGCCCCCAAGCUGACCACAGCCACUCACCUGCCUCACAGGCUGGGGGACCCCCGGGGAAGCUUUGCUCACUGGAGAGGGAGGAGAGAGGGUUUCAGGAGGGCCUGGGGGAGCCUUAGGCAGACACAGCUGUGGGUAGACACUUACCUGUCAGUGGUAGCCAGGAUGUCCCAGAGAAAGAUGGCGUCCCCUGCGCUGAGGACCUGA
rnacentral:lncRNA from 13 species